GACGAACGCUGGCGGCGUGCCUAAUACAUGCAAGUCGAACGGUUUAGUUCCAAGAGGCUUGCCUUUUGGAACUAGACAGUGGCGGACGGGUGAGUAACACGUAGGCAACCUACCUGUCAAACCGGGAUAACCUCGGGAAACCGAAGCUAAACCCGGAUAAGCUCCUUUUUCGCAUGAAGGGGGAGUGAAAAGGUGCGACCUGAUGACAGAUGGGCCUGCGGCGCAUUAGCUAGUAGGUAGGGUAACGGCCUACCUAGGCGAUGAUGCGUAGCCGACCUGAGAGGGCGUACGGCCACACUGGGACUGAGAUACGGCCCAGACUCCUACGGGAGGCAGCAGUAGGGAAUCUUCGGCAAUGGGCGAAAGCCCGACCGAGCAACGCCGCGUGAGUGAGGAAGGCCUUCGGGUUGUAAAACUCUGUUGUUUGGGAAGAAGGGAAAGGGUAGGACCCUUAGGUGACGGUACCAAACGAGAAAGCCCCGGCUAACUACGUG
rnacentral:rRNA from 1 species